UGGGGAAUUUUGGACAAUGGGCGCAAGCCUGAUCCAGCCAUGCCGCGUGAGUGAAGAAGGCCUUCGGGUUGUAAAGCUCUUUCGGCCGGGAAGAAAUCGUAUGGGUUAAUACCCUGUGCGGAUGACGGUACCGGCAUAAGAAGCACCGGCUAACUACGUGCCAGCAGCCGCGGUAAUACGUAGGGUGCGAGCGUUAAUCGGAAUUACUGGGCGUAAAGCGUGCGCAGGCGGUUUUGUAAGACAGGCGUGAAAUCCCCGGGCUCAACCUGGGAACUGCGUUUGUGACUGCAAGGCUAGAGUACGGCAGAGGGGGGUGGAAUUCCACGUGUAGCAGUGAAAUGCGUAGAGAUGUGGAGGAACACCAAUGGCGAAGGCAGCCCCCUGGGUCGAUACUGACGCU
rnacentral:rRNA from 1 species